GCAAGUCGAGGGGUAACAUGAGGAAGCUUGCUUUUUUGAUGACGACCGGCGAACGGGUGCGUAACACGUAUGGAACCUACCUUAUACUGGGGCAUAGCCCAGAGAAAUUUGGAUUAAUUUCCCAUAAUACCUUAGAAUGGCAUCAUUCAUAGGUUAAAGCUUCGGCGGUACAAGAUGGCCAUGCGGCCCAUUAGUUAGUUGGUGAGGUAACGGCUCACCAAGACUACGAUGGGUAGGGGUUCUGAGAGGAUUAUC
rnacentral:rRNA from 1 species